rnacentral:rRNA from 1 species
GACGAACGCUGGCGGCGUGCUUAACACAUGCAAGUCGAACGGUGAACGAGGGAGCUUGCUCCCUCCGGAUCAGUGGCGAACGGGUGAGUAACACGUGAGCAAUCUGCCCCGAACUCUGGGAUAAGCGUUGGAAACGACGUCUAAUACCGGAUACGACGCGGGAGGGCAUCCUCUCCGCGUGGAAAGAACUUCGGUUCGGGAUGAGCUCGCGGCCUAUCAGCUUGUGGGUGAGGUAACGGCUCACCAAGGCGACGACGGGUAGCCGGCCCGAGAGGGUGACCGGCCACACUGGGACUGAGACACGGCCCAGACUCCUACGGGAGGCAGCAGUGGGGAAUAUUGCACAAUGGGCGCAAGCCUGAUGCAGCAACGCCGCGUGAGGGACGACGGCCUUCGGGUUGUAAACCUCUUUUGGCAGGGACGAAGCGAAAGUGACGGUACCUGCAGAAAAAGCACCGGCUAACUACGUG